UACGUAGGGUGCGAGCGUUAAUCGGAAUUACUGGGCGUAAAGCGUGCGCAGGCGGUUCGUUGUGUCGGCGGUGAAAGCCCCGGGCUUAACCUGGGAAUGGCCGUUGAAACUGGCGAACUGGAGUGUGGCAGAGGGGGGUGGAAUUCCGCGUGUAGCAGUGAAAUGCGUAGAGAUGCGGAGGAACACCGAUGGCGAAGGCAGCCCCCUGGGCUAACACUGACGCUCAGGCACGAAAGCGUGGGGAGCAAACAGGAUUAGAUACCUCCGUGAUCAG
rnacentral:rRNA from 1 species